CAGGAUUAGAUACCCUGGUAGUCCACGCCGUAAACGAUGUCGACUUGGAGGUUGUUCCCUUGAGGAGUGGCUUCCGGAGCUAACGCGUUAAGUCGACCGCCUGGGGAGUACGGCCGCAAGGUUAAAACUCAAAUGAAUUGACGGGGGCCCGCACAAGCGGUGGAGCAUGUGGUUUAAUUCGAUGCAACGCGAAGAACCUUACCUACUCUUGACAUCCAGAGAACUUUCCAGAGAUGGAUUGGUGCCUUCGGGAACUCUGAGACAGGUGCUGCAUGGCUGUCGUCAGCUCGUGUUGUGAAAUGUUGGGUUAAGUCCCGCAACGAGCGCAACCCUUAUCCUUUGUUGCCAGCGAUUCGGUCGGGAACUCAAAGGAGACUGCCGGUGAUAAACCGGAGGAAGGUGGGGAUGACGUCAAGUCAUCAUGGCCCUUACGAGUAGGGCUACACACGUGCUACAAUGGCGCAUACAAAGAGAAGCGACCUCGCGAGAGCAAGCGGACCUCACAAAGUGCGUCGUAGUCCGGAUCGGAGUCUGCAACUCGACUCCGUGAAGUCGGAAUCGCUAGUAAUCGUGGAUCAGAAUGCCACGGUGAAUACGUUCCCGGGCCUUGUACACACCGCCCGUCACACCAUGGGAGUGGGUUGCAAAAGAAGUAGGUAGCUUAACCUUCGGGA
rnacentral:rRNA from 1 species